UUUUUUCUUUUUCUCUGAAAAAACCCCCAACUCUCUUCAUCUUCUUCUCUUCUCUAGAUUAUUGCCACAACCAACUUUAUCAUCGCUGUCAAAUUUGGGCGUCUUCUUCGAUGAAUAGCACCACUAAAAAACUCUUUGUAUUCCUUUUUUUUUAGUUCCUCCAAGCUGAAAGUCGAGAAACCUCUAAGUUCUUACCACUGCCACUAUCUGACAAGCUUCCUCGUCACAAUGGCCACUAAAGUCUUCCUCCUCCCACUCUCUUUAAAACUCCAACACAAAGUUUGGUAGAAAUCAUUUUCGAAUGAAACCCUAAAUGUACAAAGCCGACAUUUUGAUAAAAAAGAGUAAAACCCAAAAAAAUCGAGAUCCUUGGGUCUCGAAAUCACCUCUAAAAGGAAAAAAAUGAUAGAACUUGAAUCCACCAAAGAUGAAAAUUUGGUGGGAGGAGUCGAAAACUAAGCAGGCCAAACAAUAAGGAAUCGAACAAUAAAGAGAGUAAGGAAUUA
rnacentral:lncRNA from 1 species